UACGUAGGGUGCGAGCGUUAAUCGGAAUUACUGGGCGUAAAGCGUGCGUAGGCGGUUCGUUAAGUUCGUUGUGAAAGCCCCGGGCUCAACCUGGGAACUGCAUUUGUGACUGCAUGGCUAGAGUUUGUCAGAGGGGGGUGGAAUUCCACGUGUAGCAGUGAAAUGCGUAGAGAUGUGGAAGAACACCGAUGGCGAAGGCAGCCCCCUGGGAUGUGACUGACGCUCAUGUACGAAAGCGUGGGGAGCAAACAGG
rnacentral:rRNA from 1 species